ACGGGUGAGUAACACGUGGGAACGUACCCUUUGGUUCGGAAUAACGCUGGGAAACUAGCGCUAAUACCGGAUACGCCCUUUUGGGGAAAGGCUUGCUGCCGAAGGAUCGGCCCGCGUCUGAUUAGCUAGUUGGUGGGGUAAUGGCCUACCAAGGCGACGAUCAGUAGCUGGUCUGAGAGGAUGAUCAGCCACACUGGGACUGAGACACGGCCCAGACUCCUACGGGAGGCAGCAGUGGGGAAUAUUGGACAAUGGGCGCAAGCCUGAUCCAGCCAUGCCGCGUGAGUGAUGAAGGCCUUAGGGUUGUAAAGCUCUUUUGUCCGGGACGAUAAUGACGGUACCGGAAGAAUAAGCCCCGGCUAACUUCGUGCCAGCAGCCGCGGUAAUACGAAGGGGGCUAGCGUUGCUCGGAAUCACUGGGCGUAGAGGGCGCGUAGGCGGCCAUUCAAGUCGGGGGUGAAAGCCUGUGGCUCAACCACAGAAUUGCCUUCGAUACUGUUUGGCUUGAGUAUGGUAGAGGUCGGUGGAACUGCGAGUGUAGAGGUGAAAUUCGUAGA
rnacentral:rRNA from 1 species